rnacentral:rRNA from 1 species
GUGGAUUAGAUACCCCGGUAGUCCACGCAGUAAACGAUGAUAGCUCGUUGUCGGCGAUACACAGUCGGUGACUUAGAGAAAUCGAUAAGCUAUCCACCUGGGGAGUACGUUCGCAAGAAUGAAACUCAAAGGAAUUGACGGGGGCCCGCACAAGCGGAGGAACAUGUGGUUUAAUUCGAUGAUACGCGAGGAACCUUACCCGGGCUUGAAAGUUAGUGACGGACUUGGAAACAGGUCUUCCCUUCGGGGCACGAAACUAGGUGCUGCACGGUCGUCGACAACU